UCGUGUAGGUGGGGCGCUAGGGGUGCCCUGAACCCGAAACCCUCUUCAUGCGGGGCCGAACCCCCCGCCCGAGGGGCACGACACGCCGGGGCGAUUCGCCCGGGCGGCAGACACGUGGCGAUGAAGGCCGGGUCCUACGCGGCGGAGCACCACGAACCGGGUCAGGUCCGGAAGGAAGCAGCCCUAAGUGGACCGCUCCGGGUGCGUGGGGGUGCCUGGCCCGAGCCGGCGGCUGUCGCCGACGGCGUCCACCGUGUCUCGACGGCGGGGUCACGA
rnacentral:SRP_RNA from 1 species